rnacentral:tRNA from 1 species
GCCCCGGUAGCUCAGAAGGAUAGAGCAGCGGUUUCCUAAACCGUUGGUCGGAGGUUCGAAUCCUCUCCGGGGUACCA